rnacentral:lncRNA from 1 species
AAAUAUAUAAAUUAAAAUCUUAGAAACAUUUUAAUUUAUUUAUCGAAAAAGAGGGGAAAAUUGAUGGAGCAUUAAAUUAAUAAUUCAAUCAGUUAUAUUAGGUCAUGUACUUAUAAAUGUGAAAAGGGUUCUUUAAGAAAAGAAAAUAAAAGGUGAAAAGGAUUCUUACUUCUUCAAGAUUUUUAUUUUUGUGGACUGAAAUCUCCGUCAAUCAGCA